AGCCAUUUGCAAAGUGCAGGCUUCCUUUAAAGCAAAAGCUGCUAUAGGAAUUGUUUCUAUUAUAACUGUUCUGAGCUAUAAAUACACAGUAAAUUAUUAGUCAGGUAUUUUCUACAUGACUGCACAGUAUCCCUAACUUUGCACAUAGGCAUAUUAUUUAACCCUUUGUUUUAUGCUCUCUGGCAAUUCUCCACAGGACGGGGGAGGACCUACCAUGCUAGUCAAACUCUUUGAGUGAAGUUAUCAGUGCUGGAAGACCAAAGAGUGGCUGAAGAUGUGAUCUGGAAAAGGUGAAACUAAAAGAACCUUCCUCUACAUCUUGGUAGGUAUCAGGAUCCAUGAAUGAUACAUAUCACCAUGAUGUAGAAACUCACGACGUUUGCAGGACACUUUGCCAUGCCUGGAUCAUGUGAUAAUCUGAAUCAGGCUGCCCUCCCUUCCACCUCUUCAGUUCUAAGCAAUGAUCUGCAUCUCUUAAAGUCUGGAGAAGAAAAAUAUAUAAAACCUUUGGAGCACAUGUCCAGACCUGUCCCUAGGGAGCAACUUGCAACAGGAACAUUCACAGAUGAAAUGCCAGCUGAAGAGUACCCAGUUACCAAGAUCAAUCAUAAGGAUAAAAGUCUAGCUUGUGAAAGUCUCAUUUCGAGAGUCUUGAAAAACGUGAAGAACCACUCUUUGUGUCCCAAAUGGAACAGAAAAGGUUUCAGGCCCAGUGCUCUGUAAAUGAGGAGGAGGAAUCCUUCCCAUCUACAGGGAAGUAGAAUGUUGUACAGAAACAGAAUGUAAUAGAAAGAUAUAGACAAAUUUCAAAACUGUUCAGGAAAUCGUUGUGAGUAAAGAGUACAUUUGCUGAAAUUGGACCAAAUACAAGAGAAGAAAGCAAGGACUGACUUCAUUGGGAUAUACUGAGAAAGUGGUUUAGACACUAGGAGUUGUUUUAUGUCUGACCCAAAGGUUAAUGAUCUUCUUCCUUGCUUUCAUCAGGGUGACUUAUGGCAUUUUAGUUUAUGUACAGCACCUGCACCAGCAUGCAGUCUGUCUUCUCUUGCAUUACUGUGUUACAAAGGUGAAGUACAAUGACAGAGAAUAAACUCAUUGGUCAAGGAA